rnacentral:rRNA from 1 species
UUCUUGUAACCCUAUAAGAAGUAAUUUCCUGCCCGGUGACACUCGUUCAACGGCCGCGGUAUCCUAACCGUGCAAAGGUAGCAUAAUAAUUUGCCCAUUAAUUGUGGGCUAGAAUGAACGGACCAACGAAAUAAAGACUGUCUCUAUAAGUUACAUAAAAAUUAAUCUCUAACUGAAGACUGUUAGAUACCAUCGAAGGACAAGAAGACCCUAUAGAGCUUUAUCCUAGUAAAAGUUAAUUUUCUUUUUGCGGGAUUCGGUUGGGGCGACCGGGGAAAUUAACAAUCAUCCCUCCUAAUAAGAUAAAUAAAUCAUAGUCCUGACCCUUAAUAAAGAUCACAAGAUCAAGCUACCUUAGGGAUAACAGGCUAAUUCUACUAAAGAGUCCUUAUUAAUAGUAGAGUUUGGCACCUCGAUGUUGGCUUAGGGAAUCUAUGUGGCGCAAAAGUCGCAUAAAGAUGGUUUGUUCAACCAAUAACACCCUACAUGAGCUGAGUUCAGACCGGCGUAAGCCAGGUUAGUUUCUAUCCUCGACAAUAUAACCUAUUUAUAGUACGAAAGGACCUAAAUAAGGAUAAUAAUUAUAGUUAAAGAAUAAAUAUAAAAAAAAAUAAACUGCUCAAUACAUAAACUAUG